rnacentral:rRNA from 1 species
AGUGAACGCUGGCGGCAGGCCUAACACAUGCAAGUCGAACGGACGCACAGUAAGAGCUUGCUCUUACGGGUGGCGAGUGGCGGGCGGGUGAGGAAUACAUCGGAAUCUACUUUUUCUUGGGGGAUAACGUAGGGAAACUUACGCUAAUACCGCAUAUGACCUACGGCUGAAAUCAAGGGAUCUUCGCACCUUUCGCGAUUCAAUUAGCCGAUGUCGGAUUAGCUAGUUGGCAUGGUAAAGGCACACCAAGGCAACGAUCCGUAGCUGGUCUGAGAGGAUGAUCAGCCACACUGGAACUGAGACACGGUCCAGACUCCUACGGGAGGCAGCAGUGGGGAAUAUUGGGCAAUGGGCGAAAGCCUGAUGCAGCCAUACCGCGUGGGUGAAGAAGGCCUUCGGGUUGUAAAGCCCUUUUGUUGGGAAAGAAAAGCAGCAGGUUAAUACCCCGCUGUUCUGACGGUACCCAAAGAAUAAGCACCGGCUAACUUCGUG